rnacentral:rRNA from 1 species
UACGUAGGGGGCGAGCGUUGUCCGGAUUUAUUGGGCGUAAAGAGCUCGUAGGCGGUUUGGUAAGUCGGGUGUGAAAUCUCCACGCUCAACGUGGAGGGGCCACUCGAUACUGCCAUGACUCGAGUCCGGUAGAGGAGUGUGGAAUUCCCGGUGUAGCGGUGAAAUUCGUAGAUAUUCGGAAGAACACCAGUGGCGAAGGCGGCUCACUGGACCGGUAUUGACGCUGAGGUGCGAAAGCGUGGGGAGCAAACAGG